rnacentral:rRNA from 1 species
AGCGAACGCUGGCGGCAGGCCUAACACAUGCAAGUCGAACGAACCUUUCGGGGUUAGUGGCGGACGGGUGAGUAACACGUGGGAACGUGCCUUUAGGUCCGGAAUAACUCAGGGAAACUUGUGCUAAUACCGAAUGUGCCCCUCGGGGGGAAGAUUUAUCGCCUUUAGAGCGGCCCGCGUCUGAUUAGCUAGUUGGUUGAGGUAAUGGCUCACCAAGGCGACGAUCAGUAGCUGGUCAGAGAGAAUGGUCAGCCACAUUGGGACUGAGACACGGCCCAGACUCCUACAGGAGGCAGCAGAGGGGAAUCUUGCGCAAUGGGCGGAAGGCUGACGCAGCCAUGCCGCGUGAAUGAUGAAAGUCUGAGGAUUGUAAAAUUCUUUCACCGGGGACGGUAAUGACGGUACCCGGAGAAGAAGCCCCGGCUAACUUCGUG